GAUGAAGAACGUAGCGAAAUGCGAUAAGUAAUGCGAAUUGCAGAAUUCAGUGAGUCAUAGAAUCUUUGAACGCACAUUGCGCCCUGUGGUAUUCCGCAGGGCAUGCCUGUUCGAGCGUCAUUUCAACCCUCAAGCCCCGCUUGGUGUUGGGCCCCGCCCGCUGUGGCCGGCCCUAAAGACAAUGGCGGCGCCGCCUGGCCCUCAGCGUAGUACAUCUCUCGCUCCAGGGUCCGGUGGCCGCCUGCCAGAACCCCCCAACUCUGUGGUUGACCUCGGAUCAGGUAGGGAUACCCGCUGAACUUAAGCAUAUCAAUAAGCGGAGGA
rnacentral:misc_RNA from 1 species